ACGCGCCGACAAGUGGGCCAGACCCCACAAUUCUCUCCCCGAGUCGAUUUCCUCCAUCUCCCGUGCGCCGCUCCCCCACCUUCUCUCCCUCUCUCGUCCGCAAGCGCCGGCUAGGGUUUCGCCGCCGCUCCCUUGCACCACCUUGUUGCUGGUCGUUGACCUCAAAAGCAGGAUCCCCGCGCUGCGCCAUGAUCGCCGCCAUUUCCGAAAAUACGCCGCCACCGUCCCCGAUGCCGAUGCCGCCCACCAUCCCCAUCUCGAUCAUCGCCGGCGCCCCUCACCUCCAGCGCGGCCGCUGGCCGUCAUAGCGUAGGCCGACGCCAGCUAAUGUAUCGAGCUUCGCCGUCACCGGAGCCCGUCAGGUCUAGCGCGGACGCCGACCAUACAAGCGCAGGACGACGCCGCCCACAAUACGUAGCUCGGACUCCUCCGCCCCUCAAGAUCUUUGAGCAUGGGUGCUCGAUCCGUCGACAACGAAGGCCAACGCGGGUCUGCUGGCGAAGGACAACGGUGAUUUGUCCCUCUCGCCCUCUUCGACAUGGUGUCCUACCUCCACUCGCUCGCCUCUAGCCCCUCCCUCGACCAGGAAGGGAUCCGCGAGGGGGGGGGGGGGCGCUGCAGCGCUGGGAUGAGAUGAGAUGAGAUGGUGAGUAAGCUCGGCCUCUUCUCCUCCAACGAGACUAAGGAAGACGUCUCCAACGCAACCUCAACUACUCGUGCCAUACUACCUUGGUGAGAUGACUGAACAAGUGGAGCAGGAGGACCGAAUUCCGGUUCUCAAGGCAUCACAAGAUCAUCUGAAGGUUCACUGUCAAGUUACAUGGUCUCACACGUACUUAUGAUGUAUUUUUAGAGACUGAUAUUUAUGCGAAGAUCCAGCUGUCAUCACCUCCCCCCACGACUAUCUACGUCUCAGGGCCAUGGAGGCCCGACGCCCUCCACAAACCGCGAGAAAGAGCAGCAGUACGGAUGCAAUCAGGUCAUGGAGGCCGAGAUCGAUCCAACCCUCCCCUCCACCUCCUCUCUAUCCCUCUAAUCUGCGAUUUGCCAUGCAUUCUGAUUGUGGAUAUGGAAGAAUUUAGGUCACUAGAUGCAGACAAAUUGAAGCAUGCCUUCUGGAUAUGGAAGAUGGAAUUCAAGCUGGUUUCGGUUAUUGGACGAGAUGUGAGGUCAUCCACGUUAACUGUUACUAAUUGAUGCAAAAAAAUUCAAGUUACUCCACACGGCUGCCACCUGCAGAGCAUGAGAGGGUUUCACCAUGCAGGCACUAAAGGGUGGUCUUGGUAGUCCUUGACACAUGCUUACGGGUUUGCAAAUAUGCUCACAGACAUUGUGAAGGCUGCAAGGUACUGGACUAUAUAGGAUUCGUGUACUCUAUUUUUGAGAAAUACAUUUGGUGCUUUGGAUCCUGAAUGGUAGAUUUUUUAAACAUUUCUUGCAAUUUUGUACAACUUGCAGAGUAGUAUUAUUUAAGAUCUACGAGUGUCUGCAUGAAUCAUUAUAUAUUUUAGCCUAUUUUGGUGGAUCGGUUAUGUGGUAAUGUUAAAAGAAAGCUAGAUGUUAGCUCAGUGGCGACGGUCAAUCGCAGUGCCUUGUGGGUCAUCCUAAUUUGGUAGCGACGGUCGAUCGACGCAUAUAAUGCACACCUUCUGCUUGAAGAAACGUCCAAGUGAUCUUGUUGUAGCCUUGCAGGUUGCGCUUAUUUGUUUCGUUAUUCUACAUUGAAAGGCAUCGUCAUAGAAAGGUCCAAUAAUGCUGGGAUUGCUACAACUUUUAGAUUGCUUAAUUGGUAGCUUUAACUGACACCAAAUAUGUACUUCUUCCUUCCAUUUUCAUGUUAAUACUGCUUUUCUGUUCUUUACAUGGGGACAUCAGAAUUACUUGUUAGUUCGCAUUAUUGUUUUUCUCCGAGAACAACGAUUGUGCAUUCACAUCAGGCAUCAAUUCACAGAUAAGUGCUCAAUGUUCUUAAACAUGACAGACCAUGUCAUAUAUUUUAGUUAUUGCAUAUAUCUGCAGCUAGAACGGCAGCAGCAGUAUUGCAGGAGGAACCAGUUCUCAUUUACAACGUUCAGUUUUAUUUCUCUGUUAGAGGCCCAAACAAGAUUCACCUGAUAACCUGCAGCUAGAACGAUAUCUGCAGUAUUGCAGGAGGAAACCAUUCUCAUUUACAUCGUUCAGCUUUACUUUGUUAGAAGCCCAGACGAGAUUUACCUGGUAAAUGUCGAUAUAACUCCUUGAUUGUACCUUCAAAUAAUUCACAUUUUGUUGAUGGUUACACUGCAAGUGUUAUGGCACAAGAGAUAGUUCAAUGUAUUUUGAUUGCUGAAUGUGAUGUCUAUUGACAAUACUUGCUAAAACUACUGAAAAACUGAUGUUCUGCACAAGUUAUUUCAGGAAGAAUGUGAAGCUAAUUCCUGAUAUUUUAGUGAGACCUAAAACACCGAAUCUGGUUUGUGAUGAUCCCUUGGAUCUUUUUCUUUACGAGCUAUGCAUCUGCCAUUUUUGCCCCUAGGCAUCAUUCACCUUGGAAGCAAGGACAUGCCGUGUUUGGGUUUUAAUGGCCAGCCUUACAUAGCACAACACUGCCAGCUUCUUUCCCGAGUAGAACUAAUGCCAUUUUACCAAGAGAUAUGUUAAGUAAUUUACAAGUUCUUACGCAGGUGCAAUUUAAUCAUUCAUAGAAGCAAGAGAUAUGUUAGAUAAUUUACAAGUUCUUACGCCGGUUUUACAGGGGAAUUUACACGGUGCAUAUUUCUUUCAUUUCCCUUACAAUUUUACCAUUAAAGCUCCAAGUUGUUACUGAGUAAUAUAUAUUUCACUUGAUAGCUUUCUAUUUUUUCAUUCUUGAGGUAUUUGUUCAUUGUUUAGGUUGUAAAAUGUGGAUUUUUUCAUUUUCGGUAUAUGAGCGGUAUUUUGCAUGAUAGUGCUGCAAAAAAUAAGGUAUAAGCAUACUCUGAAGGUUACUGGAUAUAUGCAAUAGCUCUGUUUGUUAAGUGCUUCUUUCCUGACAGAUUUUUUAGGGAUCUUUGUGGAUUAUCAACAAUCUCUGCAGUAGGAGAGUACAAAAAUAUAGUUAGGUGAGGGCUAGGUAGUAGGUACAACACCCGGCAUUUGCCUUUAGUGCAUCUGAAUUUCAGCGGACAUCUAAGCCGAAAGAAUUCAAGCCCAUAUUUGUAUGGACCUGACCCAUGUUUCCUGUUUUCUUGGUGGACCUGACCCAUAUAUGUCUGUGCACAAGAGGAUUAGGUUUGUUGGUUUAUGCCAUCUUCCCUAGAUUUCAAUGUUAGUGUUUGUUUAGUCGAAAUUAUGCACCUACAUGUGGCAGACCGGCCAUACGUGACAUGAUUAGUAAUUGUUAAUUACUACUAUGUGCUUAUAUAGAAGGAUACAAGUUAUUCAUUAACAAGAACUGAUCUUAACAAGUAUUACAGUUAUUAGUUAACAAGUACUGGUCUUAACAUUUGUUGUGCUUCCUAGGUAGACAUAUCUCUACUACUCUAUAUAAUCUACACCUUGUUUAGGAGUAAGUCAGUUGUAGCAUGCUGCUGCAAAUAAAAUGGCUUCAUAUAACUUUCAGUUAAGAUAGAACUUUCAUGUUCACUGUAAAUUAUAUGGUGUCGUGAUUAUGAAUAGUACUAUAAGUUUUCUAGCCACUUCGGUACAUACCAGGAUUAUAUUCAGGUGCAAACCAUAAUUCUAUAACCUCAACAAUAUUGAUCAGUAUGUCUCAAAUGGCCCACCUAUCCUGGCUCACGCAGCUGGCACUCUGCAGGAUCCCAGAGAUCGACGACUAAGAAGGCCAUGGUCUGGUGGAAUUUGAGAUCGACUAAAGACUGCAAGAUCGAAGGUGAUGGUUGGACCAGAGAGAGGAGGAUGCGGUGGCACCUGAGGUCGCUAGGAGGUGGAGAUGCAGGAAAUAGAGCCAAAGUGUGAGAGUAACUAUGUUACUCUUUCCCUGAUUAAGUCUCUGUAGUGUGACAUUAAAAACUCUUGACAAUCUGAGCUCUGUUUGAAUUUUAUGUGAUACAAAUAAUUCAGUAGUCCGAUGUCCAGGCAAGAUUUCUAAUUUUUAGUUUUAGUCCGAUAUCCUACUGAAUCUUGUGCAACCAUGAAUUUGUAUGCAGGCACACUGAAGAAGAAUUUCACUAGAGGGUUUGAAGUCUCUGAGAGUUGUUGUCAAAUGCAUCAUCUACAGCUCUUCCAAGUAAGAUUGCAAGGUGAUGGCAGAAAGCAAGAAGUUUUGUACUUAGUUUGUACAUAUGUGGUCUCUGAUUUUAAAGGUCCUUAAAAUUAUUAUUGUAAGUAUUUUUGAAAAAAAUUGUAUUUUAUCUACUCGUAAUUAUUUGGUUAAAUAUUUAAAGAAUUGUAUAAUAAAAAAAUCUGUAAUUGGGCAAAUCAUCAUGUGUGUUAUGGAGUUUUUUUUUUGA